rnacentral:rRNA from 1 species
UACGUAGGGAGCAAGCGUUGUCCGGAAUCAUUGGGCGUAAAGCGCGCGUAGGUGGCCUCAUAAGUCCGCUGUGAAAGUCAAAAGGCUCAACCUUUGAAAGCCGGUGGAUACUGUGAGGCUAGAGUACGGAAGAGGCGAGUGGAAUUCCCGGUGUAGCGGUGAAAUGCGCAGAUAUCGGGAGGAACACCAAUUGCGAAGGCAGCUCGCUGGGACGUCACUGACGCUGAGACGCGAAAGCGUGGGGAGCGAACGAGGAAUUGAUAUACCCCAG